rnacentral:rRNA from 1 species
GAUGAACGCUGGCGGCGUGCCUAACACAUGCAAGUCGGACGGUGGCGACCUUUCGGGGUGACCACAGUGGCGCACGGGUGAGGAACACGUAGCUGACCUGCCCUGGAGCGCGGGAUAACCCUGGGAAACGAGGGCUAAGACCGCCUACGCUCGGCGACUGUAGAGGUCGUCGAGGGAAAACCUUCGGGUGCUCUGGGAGGGGGCGUGCGGCCC